CACUCGGUAGCUCAGGGGUAGAGCGGUCGGCUCGUCUCCGACUGGACGCCGGUUCGAGCCCGGUCCGAGUUG
rnacentral:tRNA from 1 species